rnacentral:rRNA from 1 species
UACGGAGGAUGCAAGCGUUAUCCGGAUUUAUUGGGUUUAAAGGGUGCGCAGGUUGUUUGAUAAGUCAGUGGUGAAAGUCUGUCGCUUAACGGUAGGAUUGCCAUUGAUACUGUUGGACUUGAAUAUGGAUGAGGUAGGCGGAAUGUGUAGUGUAGCGGUGAAAUGCAUAAAUAUUACACAGAACACCGAUUGCGAAGGCAGCUUACUAAUCCAUCAUUGACGCUGAGGCACGAAAGCGUGGGGAUCAAACAGGAUUA